rnacentral:rRNA from 1 species
GAUGAACGCUGGCGGCGUGCCUAAUACAUGCAAGUCGAGCGAACAGACGAGGAGCUUGCUCCUCUGACGUUAGCGGCGGACGGGUGAGUAACACGUGGAUAACCUACCUAUAAGACUGGGAUAACUUCGGGAAACCGGAGCUAAUACCGGAUAAUAUAUUAAACCGCAUGGUUCAAUAGUGAAAGACGGUUUUGCUGUCACUCACAGAUGGAUCCGCGCCGCAUUAGCUAGUUGGUAAGCUAACGGCUUACCAAGGCAACGAUGCGUAUCCGACCUGAGAGGGUGAUCGGACACACGAGAACUGAGACACGGUCCAGAAUCCGACGGGAGGCAGCAGUAGGGAAUCUUCCGCAAUGGGCGAAAGCAUGACAGAGCAACGCCGCGUGGGUGAUGAAGGUCUUCGGAUCGUAAAACUCUGUUAUUAGAGAAGAACAAAUGUGUAAGUAACUAUGCACGUCUUGACGGUACCUAAUCAGAAAGCCACGGCUAACUACGUG